rnacentral:rRNA from 1 species
GUGUCAGCAGCCGCGGUAAUACAGAGGGUGCAAGCGUUAAUCGGAAUUACUGGGCGUAAAGCGUGCGUAGGUGGUUGAUUAAGCUGGAUGUGAAAGCCCCGGGCUUAACCUGGGAACUGCAUUCAGGACUGGUUAACUCGAGUCUGGGAGAGGGUGGUGGAAUUUCCGGUGUAGCGGUGAAAUGCGUAGAUAUCGGAAGGAACAUCAGUGGCGAAGGCGACCGCCUGGCCUAAGACUGACACUGAGGCACGAAAGCGUGGGGAGCAAACAGGAUUAGAAACCCGUGUAGUCC